rnacentral:lncRNA from 1 species
ACGGGGUCAUUGUGCACUGGUGCAGGCUGCCUGGGGCAGUGGUCCUGCCACCAAGACUGCUAGAGUGCAAGGAGGGGUUGGAAAAGUGACAUGUGCACUCUGAGUGCAUAUGGAACUAACAAAUAUGCUGUGGAUUGUAAAUGAAGACAUAUGGUUCCUAAAGCCAGUGCAGCCUCUUCUAACUUUAUCUUUGGACUUUCAUGGCCCAUCACAUGCAGAGCAGAUUUGGUUUUCAUGGAAGAUAGUCAUGUAAAGAGAUAAGCCUUCUCCAGUCUACAAAAUGGAUAGAAGCACUGCUAGAAACAAAAGUGAUUCAUCAAAUGGCACAGCUGUUCACUGUAUGUUCAUAAUGAGCUUUUUUAUUUGGGUGCUGUUUGGUAUUUAUAGCUAAUUAACUCCCUUUUACACCACCCAACAAUCUGCAUUUAGAGCACAGAGAAAAUGGAAAUAGAUUGAAUUAAAGCUGUUAAAUACAGAGCAAAUUCAGU